GAUGAACGCUGGCGGCGUGCCUAAUACAUGCGAGUCGAGCGAACAGACGAGGAGCUUGCUCCUCUGACGUUAGCGGCGGACGGGUGAGUAACACGUGGAUAACCUACCUAUAAGACUGGGAUAACUUCGGGAAACCGGAGCUAAUACCGGAUAAUAUAUUGAACCGCAUGGUUCAAUAGUGAAAGACGGCUUUGCUGUCACUUAUCGAUGGAUCCGCGCCGCAUUAGCUAGUUGGUAAGGUAACGGCUUACCAAGGCAACGAUGCGUAGCCGACCUGAGAGGGUGAUAGGCCACACUGGAACUGAGACACGGUCCAGACUCCUACGAGAGGCAGCAGUAGGGAAUCUUCCGCAAUGGGCGAAAGCCUGACGGAGCAACGCCGCGUGAGUGAUGAAGGUCUUCGGAUCGUAAAACUCUGUUAUUAGGGAAGAACAAAUGUGUAAGUAACUAUGCACGUCUUGACGGUACCUAAUCAGAAAGCCACGGCUAACUACGUG
rnacentral:rRNA from 1 species